rfam:Scytonema millei VB511283 scaffold_65, whole genome shotgun sequence.
GUCAGGGACUCCUAGUUGAGUGCAAACCCCACGAAUAAAUUCGUUGGCUCUGCAGUUAACGCAACCUGACCAGCUUCAGUCCAUUACUGGACUACGUUUAGAGAAAGUGCUAAAAGUCCCACCUACAAAUGCUUGCCAGUUUGUAGCUCUGGAACCAAACGAUUAAACACGAUGUACGGGAGUUAAAUCAGUGUCGUUUGGAGUCAGCCGACUCUAAACAGUCUUCGAGGCAAACUUUAC